rnacentral:rRNA from 1 species
GAUGAACGCUGGCGGCGUGCCUAAUACAUGCAAGUCGAGCGAACGGACGAUAAGCUUGCUUCUCUGAUGUUAGCGGCGGACGGGUGAGUAACGCGUGGAUCACCUACCUCUAAGACUGGGGUAACUUCGGGAAACCGGAGCUACUACCGGAUAAUAUUUUGAACCGCAUGGUUCAAAAGUGAAAGACGCUCUUGCUGUCACUUAUAGAUGGAUCCGCGCUGCAUUAGCUAGUUGGUAAGGUAACGGCUUACCAAGGCAACGAUGCAUAGCCGACCUGAGAGGGUGAUCGGCCACACUGGAACUGAGACACGGUCCAGACUCCUACGGGAGGCAGCAGUAGGGAAUCUUCCGCAAUGGGCGAAAGCCUGACGGAGCAACGCCGCGUGAGUGAUGAAGGUCUUCGGAUCGUAAAACUCUGUUAUUAGGGAAGAACAUAUGUGUAAGUAACUGUGCACAUCUUGACGGUACCUAAUCAGAAAGCCACGGCUAACUACGUG